GGGGGUAUAGCUCAGUGGUAGAGCGCCAGCAUACGUAUCGGAAGGUCGGGGUUCGACUCCCUCUGCCUCCA
rnacentral:tRNA from 1 species